rnacentral:rRNA from 1 species
UACGUAGGGACCAAGCGUUGUCCGGAAUCAUUGGGCGUAAAGAGCGUGUAGGCGGUCCGUUAAGUCCGCUGUGAAAGUCGGGGGCUCAACCCUCGAAUGCCGGUGGAUACUGUCGGGCUAGAGUGCGGAAGAGGCGAGUGGAAUUCCUGGUGUAGCGGUGAAAUGCGCAGAUAUCAGGAGGAACACCGAUUGCGAAGGCAGCUCGCUGGGACGUAACUGACGCCGAGACGCGAAAGCGUGGGGAGCAAACAGG